AUUAAACGCUGGCGGCAUGCCUUACACAUGCAAGUCGAACGGCAGCACGGGGGCAACCCUGGUGGCGAGUGGCGAACGGGUGAGUAAAAGCAUCGGAACGUGCCCUGGAGUGGGGGAUAACGUAGCGAAAGUUACGCUAAUACCGCAUAUUCUGUGAGCAGGAAAGCAGGGGAUCGCAAGACCUUGCGCUCUGGGAGCGGCCGAUGUCGGAUUAGCUAGUUGGUGGGGUAAAGGCCUACCAAGGCGACGAUCCGUAGCGGGUCUGAGAGGAUGAUCCGCCACACUGGGACUGAGACACGGCCCAGACUCCUACGGGAGGCAGCAGUGGGGAAUUUUGGACAAUGGGCGAAAGCCUGAUCCAGCCAUGCCGCGUGAGUGAAGAAGGCCUCGGGUUGUAAGGUACUCUUUCUAGCCGGGAACGGAAAAACGGACGAACCGACGU
rnacentral:rRNA from 1 species